UCGUAGAUGGCGGUGCAUGUUUCCGAACGUCCCUUUUUCCAAGCGGUACGCUAAACAACGAUAACCGAUCAAAAUGACGGAAGGUACAGCCACCAUCAGGACGAGAAAGUUCAUGACCAAUCGGCUUUUAUGCCGAAAACAAAUGGUCGUAGAUGUUAUUCAUCCUGGCCAACCAUCAGUUCGUAAAACCGAGAUUCGAGAGAAAUUAGCCAAGAUGUAUAAAGUGACUCCAGAUGUUGUCUUUGUGUUUGGCUUCCAAACCAACUUUGGUGGUGGUAAAUCUACUGGAUUUGCACUUAUCUAUGACACCUUGGAUUUUGCAAAGAAAUUUGAACCUAAAUAUAGGUUAGCAAGGCAUGGUCUCUUUGAGAAACAAAAACAAACGAGAAAACAGCGUAAAGAACGCAAGAACAGAAUGAAGAAAGUUAGGGGUACUAAAAAGAGUAAAGUUGGAGCAGCGUCUAAAAAGGGAAGGAAAUAGAGAAAUGAUCAUCAUUUGUACUACAGACUUCUGGAGGAGCAAUUUCUUAUUGCUUAAUCAGGUAAAAGAAGCCAUCUUGAAGACCACACAAUCAUCGACGUAAAAGUUAUUAUAUUUUACUAUGGAAUAGCGCCGAAAUUAUAAUACAUUUUACGGAAUAAA
rnacentral:misc_RNA from 1 species